CACCGUGGCUGAAUAGAAAUUACCAGCUGAAAUACAGAGGAAAAAACAUCACAAAUGAAGGAGAACUUCACUUUAGAUUUGUGUUUUUGAUUAUUUAUUUCUUUUCAAAUGAUGUUUCAUUCAUGUAGAGUUUUUUUCUCAGUUUCCAAAAUAUGCAUAGGGCUGUUGCAUUUCGUGAUGAACUUUCAUUUGCACGCAAUGGAUUGUAUAUGUUGAAUCAUGAAGUCCCUUGAGACAUUUAGAAAGAUCAAAAAUUGAAUUUGAGGGGCCUGGGUAGCUCAGUGGUAAAAGACGUUGGCUACCACACCUGGAGUCGUGAGUUUGAAUCCAGGGUGUGCUGAGUGACUCCAGCCAGGUCUCCUAAGCAACCAAAUUGGCCUGGUUGCUAGGGAGGGUAGAGUCACAUGGGGUAACCUCCUCGUAGUCGCUAUAAUGUAGUUCGUUCUCAGUGGGGCGCGUGGUGAGUUAAGCGUGGAUGCCGCGGUGGAUGGCGUGAAGCCUCCACAUGCGCUAUGUCUCCGUUGCAACGCGCUCAACAAGCCACGUGAUAAGAUGCAUGGGUUGACGGUCUCAGACGCGGAGGCAACUGGGAUUCAUCCUCCACCACCCGGACUGAGGUGAGUCACUACGCGACCACGAGGACUUAAAAGCGCAUUGGGAAUUGGGCAUGCCGAAUUGGGGAGAAAAAGCGGAAAAUGAAUUUGAAGCUUUGAGGAAAGUUAGAAAGGUUGUUGGUUUAGGGGGUCUGGGUAUCUCAGCGAGUAUUGAUGCUGACUAUCACCCCUGGAAUCACGAGAUUGAAUCCAGGGCGUGCUGAGUGACUCCAGCCAGGUCUCCUAAGCAACCAAAUUGGCCCGGUUGCUAGGGAGGGUAGAGUCACAUGGGGUAACCUCCUCGUGGUCGUGAUUAGUGGUUCUCGCUCUCAAUGGGGCGUGUGGUGAGUUGUGUGUGGAUCGUGGAGAGUAGCAUGAGCCUCCACAUGCUGUGAGUCUCCGCGGUGUCAUGCACAACGAGUCACGUGAUAAGAUGCGCGGAUUGACAGUCUCAGAAGCGGAGGCAACUGAGACUUGUCCUCCGCCACCCGGAUUGAGGUGAGUAACUGCGCCACCACAAGGACCUACUAAGUAGUGGGAAUUGGGCAUUCCAAAUUGGGGAUAAAAGUGGAUAAAAAAUUAAAAAAUACUACACAUGUAUAAUUCCACAUCCUGGCAAAAUCUCACCUAGAGUAAGUCAGCAUAUCUAAUAGCAACCUUCUACAACCUUUACAAUAUGAAUAUAAUAGCUUGGACACCGGCGCUUUAGCGCAGUUUGUGGAAUUUUUAGACGGUCCCUUACACACUGUAUAUGAACAUCAUACCUAAAACUUCUUUUCCCGCUUUCUAUUUUUGCUCUCUGUGAUAUAAAGUGUCCCAUUACUGUUUUACUGAGUGGCAAACCACUCACAAUGUUCAGUAAUUGAGCAUUUGGAAUUAAUUUUGAAAUUAUCUCGUAAGUGGGCGGAGAACCAAUCCUGAGGAAAGGACUCGGUCUCAUUCACACAGCCAGUCAGCCACCGUAGUUUUCAGCAGGGGGCAGUAAGCAAAACUUCAGCUGUGCAGACAACAACACCUCACUCAAGCUUACUCGACACUAGUGACAGCACAAGAUGAGGACACGUUCUUGCAUUCAAACACAGCUGAAAGGAGCGCAACUCCGAAUGCAGGGAUCUCGAGACGUUUCAAACUACGUUAAACUUGACACAGCAACUACAAAAAUGUGUUUAUGAAAAGAUGCAAUCACAAUGAGACGCUCCAAAAACAUCCGUCUGACGCAUGUGUAUACUGACGAGUUCUUACAAAAGCCCUUAUAAUAAAUCUAUCUUGAACAGAUUGACGAAUUAAAUUGCAAAAUGGAUUGCUGUGCACUGCAAGCCAAUGAUAGGCUAUUAGGCUUAUGUUCAA